rnacentral:rRNA from 1 species
AUUGAACGCUGGCGGCAGGCCUAACACAUGCAAGUCGAGCGGAUGAAGGGAGCUUGCUCCUGGAUUUAGCGGCGGACGGGUGAGUAAUGCCUAGGAAUCUGCCUGGUAGUGGGGGAUAACGUCCGGAAACGGGCGCUAAUACCGCAUACGUCCUGAGGGAGAAAGCGGGGGAUCUUCGGACCUCACGCUAUCAGAUGAGCCUAGGUCGGAUUAGCUAGUUGGUGGGGUAAAGGCCUACCAAGGCGACGAUCCGUAACUGGUCUGAGAGGAUGAUCAGUCACACUGGAACUGAGACACGGUCCAGACUCCUACGGGAGGCAGCAGUGGGGAAUAUUGGACAAUGGGCGAAAGCCUGAUCCAGCCAUGCCGCGUGUGUGAAGAAGGUCUUCGGAUUGUAAAGCACUUUAAGUUGGGAGGAAGGGCAGUAAGUUAAUACCUUGCUGUUUUGACGUUACCAACAGAAUAAGCACCGGCUAACUUCGUG